AACAAACUCCACCUUGAUUAAAAAUUAUUAUAGCAGCAGCUAUCCGCCAUACUCCACAUUGCUGAACACCUGUCAUACUGCACCAUAAAGAGUAUCGCCACUUAGAAUAAACCAUUCUAAGAAUUUCCACUUCGGCUCAUGUCGAAAAACACCUGGCUGAUUAUUAUGGUGCAACCUCCACUAUUGGCUCUCCUUGGAAGCCCAUCAGCUAUCGACAUAACUGUUUCAUUACCUCCACUAUUGGCUAUCCUUGGAAGUCCAUCAGCUAUCGACAUAACUGUUUCAUCACACACUUUGCAUUCCUGCCAAACCAAUGCCCGUGUGUAAUUCCGCUAUUAAUCUCACAUCCUUC
rnacentral:lncRNA from 1 species